CAGUCGCCGCGGGAAUACGUAGGUCCCGAGCGUUGUCCGGAUUUAUUGGGCGUAAAGCGAGCGCAGGCGGUUAGAUAAGUCUGAAGUUAAAGGCUGUGGCUUAACCAUAGUACGCUUUGGAAACUGUUUAACUUGAGUGCAAGAGGGGAGAGUGGAAUUCCAUGUGUAGCGGUGAAAUGCGUAGAUAUAUGGAGGAACACCGGUGGCGAAAGCGGCUCUCUGGCUUGUAACUGACGCUGAGGCUCGAAAGCGUGGGGAGCAAACAGGAUUAGAUACCCGAGUAGUCCCUGUCUCUUAUACC
rnacentral:rRNA from 1 species